CUGUUUUAGAUGAGCAGAUGUCACGCGGUCAGUUGCUCUUUUUCCUUUCUCUGACUGUGAACUGAAUUGUAACGUUCUUCAAAAGGAAAACAGAAGCAACCGACGACUGUGGUUUCCCUGUUCAGUGCAGAGGUUCUCAGCAGUUUCCUGUCAUAGCCAACGUGGUUUGAACUGCAAACAUUUCAGUGGCUGCAUCUAAAAUGUCAUUUCUAGACAUUUUUCUCCUCCGUUUUGUUCCUAAUUGCUGUCCGACACUGUAUCUGUCAAUUUAGUUUUCCCUCAAAAAAUGAAAUUUGAAAAUGUCUUUUUUUUGGGUCACAGGUUGAGUGUUUAGUAGGGGAACUCACAAGUUCCUAGUUCAAUACCAUUGGGUAAAACAAAAAGAA